UACGGGGGGGGCAAGCGUUGUUCGGAAUUACUGGGCGUAAAGGGCUCGUAGGCGGCCAACUAAGUCGGACGUGAAAUCCCUCAGCUUAACUGGGGAACUGCGUCCGAUACUGGAUGGCUUGGAUUCGGGAGAGGGAUGCGGAAUUCCAGGUGUAGCGGUGAAAUGCGUAGAUAUCUGGAAGAACACCAGUGGCGAAGGCGCUCUACUGGGCCGUAACUGACACUGAGGGACGAAAGCUAGGGGAGCGAAAGGG
rnacentral:rRNA from 1 species